UAGGGAAUCUUCGGCAAUGGGGGCAACCCUGACCGAGCAACGCCGCGUGAGUGAAGAAGGUUUUCGGAUCGUAAAGCUCUGUUGUAAGAGAAGAACGUGUGCGAGAGUGGAAAGUUCACACAGUGACGGUAACUUACCAGAAAGGGACGGCUAACUACGUUCCAGCAGCCGCGGUAAUACGUAGGUCCCGAGCGUUGUCCGGAUUUAUUGGGCGUAAAGCGAGCGCAGGCGGUUUAAUAAGUCUGAAGUUAAAGGCAGUGGCUUAACCAUUGUUCGCUUUGGAAACUGUUAAACUUGAGUGCAGAAGGGGAGAGUGGAAUUCCAUGUGUAGCGGUGAAAUGCGUAGAUAUAUGGAGGAACACCGGUGGCGAAAGCGGCUCUCUGGUCUGUAACUGACGCUGAGGCUCGAAAGCGUGGGGAGCAAACAGG
rnacentral:rRNA from 1 species